rnacentral:tRNA from 1 species
AAAAUAUUAGUAAAAUGUAAUUACAUUGCUUUGUCAAGGCAAAAUUGUGAGUUAGAAUCUCACAUACUUUA